AGGCAGAACUUAGAUGAAGGCCACACACAGACCCCCAAGUGAAAGUGGAGGCACACUAAAAUUAAAGAAAAGCAAAUGCUCCUGAGGAAGCUGAAUAAAGCCCAAAGGGGAACAUGUCGCUGAUCUGUGUUGCCAAGAUGCACUAAAGAGAAACAAGAUUACUACUGUGCUCCUACUAUCUGAGUUGCCUGUCCGUGCUGCUGUAUUGUCUUUGCUAAAAGAUGCUGCUAAAUCACCAACUAGGACCUCUACAACAGACUUCUACAACAGUCCAAAAGGAAGAUUGGUAUGGCUUCUCAGAAAGUACUUUUGUUUCUUUUCUUCCUAGGUUAGUAUGAAAGAUGGGUGAAACUACAUAAUUCCCUGUGUUAUCUUUUCUGGGCAACAGAUGCUUCAGAGUAGUCUAAGAAAUACAGAUAGAUGAAACAACUGUUUUUCUGUUGCCUUGGG